rnacentral:rRNA from 1 species
UGCUUGCACCUCUUGAGAGCGGCGGACGGGUGAGUAAUGCCUAGGAAUCUGCCUGGUAGUGGGGGAUAACGCUCGGAAACGGGCGCUAAUACCGCAUACGUCCUACGGGAGAAAGCAGGGGACCUUCGGGCCUUGCGCUAUCAGAUGAGCCUAGGUCGGAUUAGCUAGUUGGUGAGGUAAUGGCUCACCAAGGCGACGAUCCGUAACUGGUCUGAGAGGAUGAUCAGUCACACUGGAACUGAGACACGGUCCAGACUCCUACGGGAGGCAGCAGUGGGGAAUAUUGGACAAUGGGCGAAAGCCUGAUCCAGCCAUGCCGCGUGUGUGAAGAAGGUCUUCGGAUUGUAAAGCACUUUAAGUUGGGAGGAAGGGCAAUUACCUAAUACGUAGUUGUUUUGACGUUACCGACAGAAUAAGCACCGGCUAACUCUGUGCCAGCAGCCGCGGUAAUACAGAGGGUGCAAGCGUUAAUCGGAAUUACUGGGCGUAAAGCGCGCGUAGGUGGUUUGUUAAGUUGGAUGUGAAAUCCCCGGGCUUAACCUGGGAACUGCAUUCAAAACUGACAAGCUAGAGUAUGGUAGAGGGUGGUGGAAUUUCCUGUGUAGCGGUGAAAUGCGUAGAUAUAGGAAGGAACACCAGUGGCGAAGGCGACCACCUGGACUGAUACUGACACUGAGGUGCGAAAGCGUGGGGAGCAAAC